UACAGAGGGUGCGAGCGUUAAUCGGAAUUACUGGGCGUAAAGGGUGCGUAGGUGGUUUAGUAAGUUAGAUGUGAAAUUCCUGGGCUUAACCUGGGGACUGCGUCUGAUACUGCUAGGCUAGAGUACUGUAGAGGGAAGUGGAAUUUCCGGUGUAGCAGUGAAAUGCGUAGAUAUCGGAAGGAACAUCAGUGGCGAAGGCGACUUCCUGGACAGAUACUGACACUGAGGCACGAAAGCGUGGGGAGCAAACAGG
rnacentral:rRNA from 1 species